AUUUAAAUGUUGAGCUCGCUCUUCACAAGACUAGAUUUCAUCCCUCAAGGAUUUUUCAAAGUUCCACCUCUCGGAAAAAUAUAUU
rnacentral:sRNA from 1 species